rnacentral:lncRNA from 11 species
GCUUUCUGUGGUUUCAGCUAUCCAAGGUAAACUACAUUCCAAAAUGUUACUGGUAUAGGGCUUGGUACUAUCCGUGGCUUCAGGCAUCCAUGGGGUUGUCUCAGGACAUAUCCUUCUUGGAGAAGGGAGUCUUACUAUAUAGGGUUAUGCCCAGGCUCCUCUGCAAUGAAGCCAGCCAAUAGAUAUCUGCUUUCCCUCCACCUCUUUAUGACAUCAUGGUUACUCUGGCAAUGUUUUGCACCUAGUUACACAAUAAUGUCUCCCUGCCACAAUACCCAAUACGCACUCUGCUGAAUUCUCACUCAAAGAGCCGACAGGUUUUCAAUGGCAGAUGAGAACCAGGGCUGAGUCAAGAACCCUGGACAGUAGACAUGUCUUAGAAUGAUCAUCACCACAUGGACAGCAUUUGUUGUCUUCCGAAGAGCAACGGGACCCCCUUUCUCUUCUUUCAGAAGUAUGGAUGGUGAUGUUGUGGAAACUGAGGCUGUUUCUGUAUUGGAACAUUGGCUGAAGAAGGUAAGUGUGGCAACUCCAGAACAGCAAAAGUGCAAAC